CGGUGGGACGACAAAUCGGGUCGGGUUCGUUUUCGGUGGGGUGGGAAGGGAGGCAUCUUGUAGAUGGAACCGUGGUUGCUAUCAAAGAGAUCGCCAUGGCUAGGCUUAGUAAGAAGUUGCAAGAUAGUCUCAAGUUUUGAAGAUCUGUUCGUGUAUUGCGGGAGGAAGUUCUCGCCAAAGACGAUCUUGUUGUUAGCUGAUCAAAUGCUAACGAGGAUAGAGUAUGUACACUCCAAAGGGUGGGUAUCUGCAUAGAGAUGUCAAACCUGAUAACUUCCUCAUGGGCCUAGGGAGGAAGACGAAUCAGAGAAAAGUCGACGUGAUGAUCUUGAGUCUCUUGGAUAUGUGCUUCUCUAUUUCCUAAGAAGCAGUCUUCCAUGGCAGGGUCUUAAAGCUGUUUACAAGAAGAAAAAAUACGAGAAAAUCUGUGAGAAGAAGAUAUCAACUCCUAUUGAGGUCUCCUCUCUACUGUACGUCAAAACUGAUACUUCUUUAUGCAGCAGUUAGGUAAAUACUGCUAAAGAGAAGUUAUGUCAUAUUUGUGGGUGUGGUUUCGGCGCUAAUGGGGAAGAUCGUGGGGUUAAAGAGAUAGAGAAGCGUCCAGAGUUUAUCAAACAUCUGUUCAGUAUCUUGAGGAAACAGAGUUGCUUAAUGUCUUGCGAGAGCGCUGCAUUGAUCGUCAUUAACAUGUGGAACCUGGGUAGAAUGAUGUUGCAAACCCAACAUCUUUUGCUUUCUCUGUUGUAUUUGUGAAGAACAUUUAGUUUAACAAUGGAUAUAAUUGAUGUAUCUU